UCUUCUCCUAAAAGAGGGCACACUUCCAACUUUGUGUGGAAUACUUGCAGACGAGGGACAUGUACGUAGUUCUAUACAAUCUAUUUUGUAGAUUAGGGUGAAUCUGUGUAUU